GACGAACGCUGGCGGCAUGCCUAACACAUGCAAGUCGAUCGAGCUGAUUUCUUCGGAAUGAAGCUAGCGGCGGACGUGUGAGUAACACGUGGGCAACCUGCCUCAUAGAGGGGAAUAGCCUUCCGAAAGGAAGAUUAAUACCGCAUAAGAUUGUAGUACCGCAUGGUAUAGCAAUUACAGGGGUAAUCCGCUCUGAGAUGGGCCCGCGGCGCAUUAGCUUGUUGGUGAGGUAACGGCUCACCAAGGCGACGAUGCGUAGCCGACCUGAGAGGGUGAUCGGCCACAUUGGGACUGAGAAACGGCCCAGACUCCGACGGGAGGAAGCAGGGGGGAAUAUUGCACAAUGGGGGAAACCCUGAUGCAGCAAUGCCGCGGGAGUGAUGACGGCCUUCGGGUUGUAAAGCUCUGUCUUCGGGGACGAUAAUGACGGUACCCGAGGAGGAAGCCACGGCUAACUACGUGCCAGCAGCCGCAGUAA
rnacentral:rRNA from 1 species